UGGGGAAUUUUGGACAAUGGACGAAAGCCUGAUCCAGCAAUGCCGCGUGUGUGAAGAAGGCCUUCGGGUUGUAAAGCACUUUUGUCCGGAAAGAAAUCCUUGGCUCUAAUACAGUCGGGGGAUGACGGUACCGGAAGAAUAAGCACCGGCUAACUACGUGCCAGCAGCCGCGGUAAUACGUAGGGUGCAAGCGUUAAUCGGAAUUACUGGGCGUAAAGCGUGCGCAGGCGGUUUGCUAAGACCGAUGUGAAAUCCCCGGGCUCAACCUGGGAACUGCAUUGGUGACUGGCAGGCUAGAGUAUGGCAGAGGGGGGUAGAAUUCCACGUGUAGCAGUGAAAUGCGUAGAGAUGUGGAGGAAUACCGAUGGCGAAGGCAGCCCCCUGGGCCAAUACUGACGCUCAUGCACGAAAGCGUGGGGAGCAAAACAGGAUUAGAUACCCUGGUAGUCCACGCCCUAAACGAUGUCAACUAGUUGUUGGGGAUUCAUUUCCUUAGUAACGUAGCUAACGCGUGAAGUUGACCGCCUGGGGAGUACGGUCGCAAGAUUAAAACUCAAAUGAAUUG
rnacentral:rRNA from 1 species